CCUACGGGUGGCAGCAGUAGGGAAUAUUGCACAAUGGGCGAAAGCCUGAUGGAGCAACGCCGCGUGGAUGAAGAAGGUCUUCGGAUCGUAAAACCCUUUUGUCAGAGAAGAAAGUGCGAGAGAGUAACUGUUCACGCAUUGACGGUAUCGUAACAGCAAGCAACGGCUAACUACGUGCCCGCAGCCGCGGUAAUACGGAGGGGGCAAGCGUUAGCCGGAAUUACUGGGCGUAAAGGGCACGCAGGCGGUAUGUGAAGUCAGAUGUGAAAGCCGUGGGCUUAACCGGGGUACUGCAUGUGAAACUGGGAUACUUGAGUGUGGUAGAGGGGAGUGGAAUUCCUGGUGUAGCGGUGAAAUGCGUAGAGAUCUGGAGGAACACCAGUGGCGAAGGCGACCCUCUGG
rnacentral:rRNA from 1 species